UCUUCAAACACAAACGAACUUAAUGUAGUUUGGUCUUGACACAAUAAAAGAGGAAGUGCGCUGGGCUGGUUCCUUCCUGACAAACGGGAAGUCAAGUCACUGAAGUAUUGGUUAUGUCAGCUCAUUUGCUCAUUUCUUUGCCCUGUUGUCAGUAGUUGGUGACUAUCCACCUUGAGAGACAAGUCUCAUCUUAGUUCUCGCUGUCCUAUGUGUGCCUAUAUGAAUUGUUGAAGAGAGAUCAUUUGAUGAAAUGUUUUUUUUCCCCUUUUGGAAGAGGAUGCUCUACUACUAUGAGUCAGAUUCUACAUUUUGGACUGUCUCAAUAUACACGGCGAGACGGUCGUUGAGGUUCCUGAGCUGCUGCUUCUCUCGCAAUCUGGUUAUUCUGGUGGGGCUGACCGGUGCAUCGCCACUGCACGUGUUUCUCUGGCCAGUCGGAGAUGCCAUAACGCUUGACAUUUUGAAACUAAAAAUGUAAAUAUCCUUAUAAAGCAAUGUUGCGUUUGCGUAGAUA